UCUGGGUGGUGUUGAUGACUUUAGGGUUAGGGCUUUGGGACAUGGGGAAAAACAGCCAGACCAGGAAAGAUAGGAGGCUAGCCAAUUCAAGAUGAACAGCUGCUUAUGCACAAAUUCAUUUUUCCCUUUGAAGAGAAUAAUAGUUCAUUCUUCCGUCUCAUUGUAUUUUUAUUCUCCAAGUCUUAAAGUACACAUAGACAGUUGCAGAAAUAAUGGAUGAGUCAGCUAGCCGCUUAGCUAGUGUAAACUCAAGGAUUUGAAAAAAUUUCUCCUUCUGCCUAGAAUACUUAAGCAACCUGAAGCUAAUAUCUGAAUUUUUUUUUCCCAAAGAUUUUUCUCUUGUAAAAAUGCAAAUACACUUGGGGAGAUAAUUUACUAGGAUUAUCACAAAUUUGCACCUUGUUUGUUGUUUUUAAAGAUUUGCACCUGAGCUAACAGCUGUUGCUGAUCUUUCUAGUUGUGGCAUGUGGGACGCUGCUUCAGCAUGGCCUGACAAGCGAUGCCGUGUCUGUGCCCAGGAUCCAAACCAGUAAAACCCCAGGCCGCCGAAGCUGAGCAUGUGAACUUAACCGCUUGGCUGCGGGGCCGGCCCCUACACCUUGUUUUAAAUGAGUUUAUCAGGAGAAGAAGCAUGUGGAUUCUCAGAAAAAUGUUUCUACUGAUCUUCAUACCCAAAUUUGAAGGUAAUCAUAGAGAAAUCUCUAGGAAGAAUAAAGUACCAUAAAACCCAAAGUCUCAGAUACAUCCUCUGAUAUCUCAAGCUUGAGUUCUAACCUCUGCAACAUGAGAAUUGAUGAGUGUCUUCGGAGUAAAGCCGAUGUUUACAUAAAAAUUCAUUUGGCUGAGGAUGCUUCACUUCCUUCAAAGGUCAGUUUCUCUCCAGUGUCUCUCUGCUUUUAGUUACUCUCCAGUACCUUCAAAUAGUUUUUAAAAAAAUUUUUAACAGAGUUCACAGUUAUUAUCUGUGAGAGGGUUAGUUGAAUACUAAAUGCUGCCUCUAGCAAUGGCUUUUAUUUAUUUUUUUAAACCACUUAUUGAGGUAUGAUUGACACAUAAAAAGCUGUACAUCUUUAACGUAUAUAACUUAAUGAGUUUGGAAAUAAGUAUACACCUGUGAAACCAUCACCACAAUCUGUGCCAUAAGCACAUCCAUCACCUCUAAAGGUUUCCUCCCACCGUCCUAAUUAUUAUUAUUAUCAACUAUUAUUAUUAUUAUUUGUGUGCGUGUGGUAAGAACACUUAAUGUAAGAUCUACCCUCUUAGCAAACUGUUAAGUAUACAAUCCGGUAUUAUUAACUCUAGGCACUGUGCAGUACAGUAGAUCUCUAGAACUUAUUCAUUUUGCAUAACUGAAACUUUGUACCCUUUGGCUAAUACCUCCUCAUUUCUCUUUCUCCCAAAAGUUAUUUUUAAUUACAUUUUUCUGAGUCUUACUAAUGUAUUGAAAAUACCUUUUAUAAUAAUUUUAAUUCCAACAAUGUUAUUAUAGUUUAUCUAGGAGUUUAUCAGUAGAUUCUUUGGGGUUCUGCAUAGACAAUACUGUCAUAUGUGAAAAAUUAAAUUUUAUUUCUUCCUUUUAAGUUUUUGUAACUUUCAAUAAUUUUAAUGAUUUUUAUUUAUUUAUUUAUUUUUUGAGGAAGAUUAGCCCUGAGCUAACAUCUGCCGCCAAUCCUCCUCUUUUUUGCUGAGGAAGACUGGCCCCCGGGCUAACAUCCAUUCCCAUCUUCCUCUACUUUAUAUGUGGGAAGGCUGCCACAGCAUGGCUUGACAGAUGAUGUGUAGGUCUGCGCACUGGAUCCAAACCAGCUAACCCUGGGCCACCAAAGCAGAACGAGCAAACUUAACUGCUACGCCACCAGGCCAGCCCCAAAAUGUUUGACCUUAACAUAUUGCUAAGAAUAGUGGGAUAACAGCAGUGGUAGUAGUGCAUAUAUUGUUUUUGAUGACAAAAGAAAAAAUUUCAACAUUUAAACAUUGUGUUGCUUGCCGUAGCUUUUUAUAAAUAUUCUUUAUCUAAGUAAGCUUUCUUUUCUUUUUUAUAAUGAAUGAAUGUUAAGUGUUUCUUAGUAAAGCUUUCUUUUCUUUUUUAUAAUGAAUGAAUGUUAAGUGUUUCUUAGUAUCUAUACAACUCAUCACUAUUUUUUCUCUUUUAGUCUUUUAAUGUGGUAAACUACAUUAAUUGCUUGUUUAAUGUUAAGCCAAUUUUGCAUUCCUGGGAAAAUCCCAAUUAAGUCACAAUAUAGUAUCUUUUUCUUUCAUUGCUAAAUUAGGUUCAUUAUUGUAUUUUUAGGAUUUUCACAUCAUGUUCAUGAGUGAUAUUUCCCUGUAUUUUUCCUUUCAGGCUCUUAUUAAGCUUUGUUAUCAAGGUUAUAUAGUUCCUUACAAUGAGUUGAAGACUGUCUACUUUUUUUCUAUAUUUUGUCAUGGUAUAUAUAAAAAUGCCGUUAAGUUGGUUUGGGGAUUUAGGGUUCACCAGUAAAACUAUCUGGAAAAAUAUUAAACUAUUAGUUCAUUUUCCUUAAUGUUAAUAGGAUUUUGGGGGUUUCUAUUUAUUUUUGAGUAAAUUUUGGAAAAUUAAAUUUUUUUAUGAACUUGUCAAUUUCACCUAAAUUUUUUUAUGUUUAUGGAGAUAAAGUAGUCAUAACAUCCUUUUAUAUCUGUGUAAUACUGGCUGCAUUUAUAAUUAUGUGGACUUUUCUUUUUCAUUACUAAUGUUGUUUAUUUAUGCCUUGUUUUCUUUCUGUCAUGGUAUGUUUUGGCAGAAGUUAGUCAUAUUCAUUGCAGAUUUCAAAGAGCUAAUUAUUCAUUUUGUUUAUCUUUUAUAAUAUGCAUAUUGCAUUUUGUUCAAUUUUCCUCUUAUGUUUAUUGUUUCAUUUCUUCUUAUUUUCUUUGGGCUAUUCUUUAUCAGUUGUUUAAUUGUUAAUCUCUUUAUGUGGAUGUUUAAUGUGUAAUUUUCUGUCUCUCUCCUUUCCUAAUAGAAGCAUUUGAAACUGUACAUUUUGUGCAUAUUCAUCAUAGUUGCAUCCUAUAAAUUUUUUAUGUAGUCUUGUCAUUAUAACCCAAUUCUAAAAUUUUUUCCUUUUUUUUUUGUGAGGAAGAUUGACCCUGAACUAACAUCUUUUGCCAUUCUUCCGCUUUUUGCUUGAGGAAUAUUGGUGCUAAACUAACAUCUGUGCCAAUCUUCCUCUACUUUUUCUAUGUGGGACACCACCACAGCAUGGCUUGAUGAGCGGUCUGUAGGUCUGUGCCUGGGAGCCGAACCUGUGAGCCCCAGGCUGCUGAAGCAGAGUGUGCAAACUUAACCACUACACAACAGGGCCAGCCCUUCUAUUUUUAAUUAUGAUUUUUCCAUGAUUCAUAAAUUUUUAGAAGAGUGUGAUCUUUGAAUUAUUUGAUUUUUAAAUUGGUUUUCUUAUGGACAGAGGAAAACAGCUGAUCUUUAUAAUACAAAUCUUCUCAAUCUCUUGAAACUUGCUUCAUGACCCAGUGAUCAAUUUUCAUAACAUUCUAGGCAUCCUUGAAAGAACAUGUUUUCCGUCUAUCACGUGCUUUUAGUUCAAAUUUGUAAGUUAUGUUGUUUGUUCUCUGACUGACUUUUACUGCGUUGCUUGAUUUAUAAGUUAAAGGGAGAAGUGUAUGAAAAUCUAACCAUGAUGGGUGUUUUCUUGAUUUCAUUUUUUAAAUUUCUGUCAGUUUGCUUCAUAUAUUUUGGAGCUGCCUCUUAUGCAUCUAAGUUUAGACAUGCUAAAUCUUUCUGACCUACAUUAUUUCUUGAAAUGGGAUGUUUUGGCCAUAAAGUUUAUAUUUUCUAUUAAUAAAAGCACACAAGCUUUAUUUGAUUAACUUUUG
rnacentral:lncRNA from 1 species